CUCAUCUGGAAGCACAGAGGAACGAACGCUAGCGAAAGCGGAAAUUGAGAAAAACGCGUGCUACGAGGAAACAUCGUUAAUAACGACCCCGUUUCUCUCUGCCAGCAUGACUAUCGGUAUUGCAAUCGAACUUUCGUUCGUCUCUACUCACAGCAGAGAUGUCCAAACGGAGAAUACUCGGCUGAUUGCACUAACGUUGAGGCAAUUUCCUACGAUUACUGGCGGCAAACGAACGGAUUGAAAUCAAAGGUGUACUCCGAUCAGUUGUGCCGGAGAUAGCAACGGACCUACAAAUACGACGACGACACAAUGGCCUGCGAAAUACAGCAUGGAGACGGUCACUCACCUCUAAGGUACCAUUGUUCCGUAGGAGAAAUAGCGAGAAGCAGGUUAGAAGAACCAGCCCCGCCUUUUCACCCUUCUCUCUUUCGACAAGUUCAGUUCACCGACCCACGUGCGUUACCGUAGUCGGUGAUCCCCGUUCGUAUAAAAGCUCACUUAGCAUCAGCUUGCGCGACAAUGUCCCGUCGCGAUGCUCGAUGGAAAGUUGCACUGAUGUUGAUCGAUCGAAAGAGAGAGAGAGAGAGAGAGAGAGAAUGAGAGAAAGAGAGUUAGAGAUUGGUUGCUCACACAAAUCGAACGAACGGAUCCUGAUGCUAGUAGAAACGGGUGGUCCACAAGAUGAAAGCUGGAAAGCCCAGUAGUUGAACGAGCUUUUCCGGACACUCGACUGUUCGACCCUCUUUCAAAUUCCUCGUUAAGGGAAAAAAGCUUCACUUCUUCCGGGCUCGUCGUCAUUAUACGAAGAAAAUGAUGAUUGACGAAGAUUGUGGAUGGAUAGACGAUGAUCUAGGACAACGAUAGAAAAACAUCGGCCACGGUUAUUACAUGCCACGCCUUUCCUUCUACCACGUUUUCACGCUCUACGACAACGGACAGAUGGAAAACAAUCGCGCUAACUUUCUUCAUUUUAUGUCUCGAGUCUCGAGGAACAAUCAUGAGGAAUGCCGUCUUGAAUAACACACGGUAGCCAAAGCCGAGGAUCUAUCCGUAUCUCGUGACACGUUUCUAACUCUGACCUGUGUUACGUGACGUUUUGAGUAAUUUAUUGUAACGUCAAGGUAAAUUUAUAAUAUAUAUCAUUCUAUGCGGAUGUUUAGAAGGAAACAAAUGAAAGAACAAAAUUCAACUUAGAUAUUUUGCACCACUGUCUACCUCAUAUUCUUUUAAGGAUACAUUAACACACACACACACACACACACAUACGUUUUUUAUUUCUAUUUAUUGAAAUGUUAUAAUUUUACAAUCAUGUGUGAUCUAUAUAUAUAUAUUGAUGUAUGUUUUAACUUUAUAGAUUAUAAGAUAUCGUUAAUAAAUAUAUUACAAUGAAGCAAAGAGGAGAA